rnacentral:rRNA from 1 species
UGAGUAACACGUGGAUAACCUACCUAUAAGACUGGGAUAACUUCGGGAAACCGGAGCUAAUACCGGAUAAUAUUUUGAACCGCAUGGUUCAAAAGUGAAAGACGGUCUUGCUGUCACUUAUAGAUGGAUCCGCGCUGCAUUAGCUAGUUUGUAAGGUAACGGCUUACCAAGGCAACGAUGCAUAGCCGACCUGAGAGGGUGAUCGGCCACACUGGAACUGAGACACGGUCCAG